UACGUAGGGUGCGAGCGUUGUCCGGAAUUACUGGGCGUAAAGCGCACGUAGGCGGACUAUUAAGUCAGGGGUGAAAUCCCGGGGCUCAACCUCGGAACUGCCUUUGAUACUGCAAGUCUCGAGUCCGAUAGAGGUGGGUGGAAUUCCUAGUGUAGAGGUGAAAUUCGUAGAUAUUAGGAAGAACACCGGUGGCGAAGGCGGCCCACUGGAUCGGUACUGACGCUGAGGUGCGAAAGCGUGGGGAGCAAACAGG
rnacentral:rRNA from 1 species